AUUAACUAUAUUGCCUUGUAAAUUUCAAUGAUGGCUUUUAUUUUGAAAAAGAAAUCUCAGUGCCGCCAGCAUUUUUCACGGAAGUCCCUAUGGCGCUGUCUCAUGUGCUGAAAUAAGGUUGCUGUGAUGCCGCAUGUUCUAACCCCCAUUUUACGAUAUUUUAAUAUUAAUCUCUGGAACCCAAAAUAUUCCCAAACAACAGAAGAUUCCUCAUUUUUUGUUACCAAAAAAUCGCUUGUGUCUUUCUCAUUGUCCUUAUUUCCUUUCACAUGUUUUUCACAAAACCUUCCUUUUCGACUUUUUUGGAAAGGAAAGAAAAAUGUGCAGUGGUCUCAAUUUAUUUCGAAGCUGUAUGUGUUCACUGACAAGCUCAUGCCGUUCGCUUACUUAUUAUUUUUAAUUAGACAAACAGAUUAAAAAAUCUACUCCUAAUAAAUUGUAUACAAAUACGAAAAUGAUUAUAGCAAAGGUAUACAAUAAUUAUUUUGAUUGAGCGUGAAAAUAAAAUAAAAACCAAAAUUGCAGCCUUCUGCUUUAAGGGCUUUAAAGCCUCGAUCACGACUUGGCCAGACCAGAUCCGCCAAUUUUGUUGUAUCGUUUUGUUGCAAGCCCUUUCCUACACAUGAUUUUUUUGAUUAUGACGCAUCUAUGGAGCCUGAUAUGUGCGGUCGCCGGUUAACAUGACCUUUUCGAUUUGUCAGACGAUAUUUAUAGACAUGAAUGCUACAAAUAACGCAUGGAGGAAGAUUUCUUCAUGUUCAUUGGAAAUGACUGAACUUCCGUUGUUACGCAUAUGCAUGACGGAUUUGGUCUGGUCAAGGAUGUCAUAGAUGAGCAGCUAUACAUCACUUUCCUCUCGUCCGAACAACCACGCCCCCUUUUGGGGGAACGCUAGCGCUGUAAAAGUGUAGAAGACAACGGCGCAAAAUUGGAAAUAUUACUGGUACCAUGCCUAAAAGCUGCUGUGUUGUAAUUUGUGCGUCGAAUAAGAUUUUAGUUUUAAACACAGUUAACGCUUUUCUUUACUUCACAAAAAAGCAAAGGACAGCAAAAGAAGAGAUCUGUGGCUUCAGGCCAUCUGCAGAGAGGGUGAAAAUGGUCAACUAUGGGACCCUUCCAGUCGACACGUUUGACUGGAAAACACGUAAUCACAGGUUAGUUAAUGAUGCCGAAGUCAACAAAGUCAAAAAAGUGAAUGUUGAUCCUGUAUUGAAAAGGCAGUGCAUAGAACAUUCUGAAAAUUCACUUCCCUGAAGUGAUUUUAUCUCAUGAUUAUCUUCAUAAUAAUCCCAAUUCAAAGUGUGUCUAAAUGCUACAUUAAUGCCAUUCUAAGAAGAUUAUAGGGAAUUGAAUCUUCAAAAAUGUUAUUAAGCAAUAGAUGUAAUUGUUCAUUGCAAUCUAUUGUAGCAAUACACAUCAUUCAUUUGUGAGAUAUAAUUAAUUGUACAGUCCAUAAUUAGAAAUGGUGACUUCAGUAAAGUAUCAACUGUUUGGGUGGCCAUAGUCCAAACAUUCAUUAUGCGUUAUCAAUUACUUUAUGAAUACAUAUUUGACGAGUGCUUUUAACCAAAGCUGUCUAAAUGUCUUUUGGACCAGUAUCUGCCUUUAGCUUACAUUUAUCCUAUUGGUUUCAGGAUUGAAUGUGAAUCAUUGCCAGCAGCCAGAUUUACAUUGGCAGCAAUUGAAAGAAUGUCAAGUAAGGUUAUGGCGCUACAAAAAUGCGGGGAAGGAGAGGCUGGUGUUGAUAAUAGGGUUCCUGUCUGCCUAAAGUCGAAAAUGGGCACCGACCGAAGCUUCUCCCAUUGAUCCGACUGAAGCUUCACUCACAGAGCUUCUCCCACUGAAGUUUUACUCACUGAAGCUUCUCCCACUGAACCCAUUGAAGAUGGUGCACAGAGCGACAGGCCAGUUUCACACAAUGAGCAGAUUGCAAUUGCAAUACAGAAUCCAUCAGGGCUUUGCUGAGCCAAAUACUGGACCCACAGUCUACCAUCCGCAGCAUCUUCCAACGUUGGCCGAAUCUUCUGUAUGCAGAGAUGACCUUCCUCAUUCACGGGCCUGACAGGGAGUGCAUCACACAAACCAUAACACCAGCAAUGAAGGCCAAAUUUCACAUUAAUUAUUGAUUGCUUUGAAUUGAACAUUCAAAGGCCCUUAAAGCCAGGUAGACACAUAAGAAAUAUGCAAUUUAUGAUCACAUGGCCAGGUAGCUUUUGAACAAUAACCAUGUUUAAUUUUUCUUAAUUUUUUCCACAGAGCAAAAAACACACUCCAGUUACAAGAAGUGAACUAUAGUCAAAUAUUUUAUUGUGUGUAGUCCUGCAGGCAGCAUCUGCUUCUUGUCCACAGGCUGGGGUGGACGAGCAUCUGAUGUUAAGAUAGUGAGGGAAUCUGGCUCCUUUUACCACUGUACCACCAUCCUGGGGACCAGGUAAUGUGGCCAGCAGUCUAAGCAGAGAUGCCCAGACUUCCCACUCCCUAGAC